rnacentral:lncRNA from 1 species
UUCUUGCGGUGAUUACUGCCCUUGGUUAUUACCUGAGGGCGUUGCAAGAGCCUUAUUUACACCGCCAAGUUGAGAAUUUAAAAACAUUUUUAAAAAUAGGUUUAUCUGCGUAUCCUGGUGAAGUUAGGAUGCAGAGAACUUGGAGCGGUUGUUUUCUACCAGACACGAGGAUCCCUGUGAAAGAAAGACAGCUAAACCACCAAGGCCCAGCCAACUGGUGGGAUCCUGAAAUGAACUUCCCUUGAAAGCGGCACGUCUUUGCACCCUGUCAGCGAAGAGAUUGUUUACAUGCAAUGAGGCUGAGUUUAAAAGAAGGCAGAAAGAAAGAAGAAAACACUAUGACUACAGUUCUGUGAGUGUGCAUAUCCAAAGGGAGAUACCCAUCCAUAGAAGAUGGUUGCUGUCAGAAAAUGCUGAGGAGUUUGCACAAGGAACGGAAGUGGAGUUGACCAAUGCAUCAGGAAGCGUACACUUUCUUUUUAAACCGCUGUGCUCGUCUGUAAAGACCCAAACCUGAGGGGUAAAAGGGGAGAGAAUGAAGUUAAUGCUUCUGUGUCAUAGAGAAAAGCUGCCAGAAUGUGAUUAAGCUUUUUGAGUUAGAACUUAAUAAAAAUGCCUUUGCUACUGGUUUCCAUGGUUGUCCAGUGAAAAGAGUGAAUACAUUUAUACUAAACACAAAAGGUGGUUUCAGAGCUUGGGCAGGAGGGAAGACGUAUUUCUUCUACUAUUUGCUCCUGUAAGUUUAGUGUCACAAACCUCCUCAGGAGUCUGGGAGAUGCUGGGGGAGCAUUUUUCAUCCAAAUGCUGAGCAGGUUUGAAUUUCUUCCUGAACAGGAAAUGAAGACCUAGAUCUUGAGAAAGGCCUAGCUCCUCGCUAAUGAGCUUACCUGCUUCUCUUGAGACAGCUUGCCUUAAAGUAGACAAUGCUCUCAUGGGCUUCUAGAUCUUAGAAAAUGCUUCUCAUUCUAGGGGGCUUUGGCCAUGGAGACCAUCACACAGCUCUUUUCCCUUCUCCUUUUGGCUGCCAUCCCAGUAAACGGGUCCUGUCCAGAACCCACAGAGGAGAAAGGCAUUAGAGAGGUGGUAAAGAUGGAUGGUGGGCUUGGCAGCGAUGUUAAGUCCUGAAAAAUGCUGUGAGUUGGGAAGUUUCUUACAACACUGUGUUUCUACAAAGGAAUACUUGAUGCUGGGUAAUUUAUAAAGAAGGAGGUUACUUUGACUUGCAAUU